GAUGAACGCUGGCGGCGUGCUUAACACAUGCAAGUCGAACGGAGUUUAUACGGAAGGAGUCUUCGGGCAACGGAAGUAUAAACUUAGUGGCGGACGGGUGAGUAACGCGUGGGUAACCUGCCUUAUACAAGGGGAUAACAGAGGGAAACUUCUGCUAAUACCGUAUAAAAAUAUUUCACGCAUGUGAGAUAUUUGAAAGAUUUAACAGUAUGAGAUGGACCCGCGUCUGAUUAGGUAGUGGGUGAGGUAGAGGCUCGCUAAGCCGACGAUCGGUAGCCGAUCUGAGAGGAUGACCGGCCACAUUGGGACUGAGACACGGCCCAAACUCCUACGGGAGGCAGCAGUGGGGAAUAUGGGACAAUGGGGGCAACCCUGAUCCAGAGACGCCGCGUGAGUGAAGAAGUAUUUCGGUAUGUAAAGCUCUAUCGAUGACGGAAGAAGAUGACGAGCCGUUAAGGAAGAAGCCCCGGCUAACUACGUGCCAGCAGCCGCCGUAACAC
rnacentral:rRNA from 1 species